GGCCCUGGCCAAGGGGGACCUAGGCGCCGUACAGGGCUAGAACUCCCGUUUCGUGACAAAGUGGUAUCAGAUCAGGCCCUAGAUGAUCCGAAUCACGCUAAGCGCCCCAACGAGACGGGAUUAGGCAGGGUGCCGAUAGCCUACGAAGCACGGAAACGGCACUGGGUCACGUUUCCCAGUAUCCAAAACGUUUCCAUGAGGAAACGACCUGACACGGCUGGAAAACGUUUUCGGGCUGUUUCCGAAAUUAUUGGAAAUAGGAAACGCGUUUCUUUAAAGAAAA
rnacentral:misc_RNA from 1 species